rnacentral:lncRNA from 1 species
GCCCCGUGAGAAGUAGAAAGUGAUGUCACAGAAAGCAGAAUAGCUGCCUUCCUACCUGCGAGGAUUGAUCCUGUACCAGACGGGCAUCCAGGCACCUAGCUACAUCCCCUUUGUUAAUCUUGUAACCAGAAGUAGCGACCUUCAGGACUCGGGUUCCAGACGGAAGCCGAAAAACAAAAGUUUUAUUUUCUGAGCGCUCAGGGAGGCGGCCAGUGCUGGGUCUGAACCUCCUGCGUCCCAGAUAAGAGACUGUAUUGCAUUUCUAAAGGGCGAAACUGCAAGAGAGGCGAGGCUUGGUGUUACAGCAGAGGGAACCAUCUAGCCCAAGGAACACAACAGUAAGGCUACAGGAGCAGGCAGGAAUCCUAACUGAGGAAAGCAGACCAAGAAGAGACCACUGUAGGCUAGAGAAGGCCAGCUUUAUCCAGAAGAGCAUGCGGUAUUCACGUGGACUUGUAGGCCAGGAAGUACACAUGUGGAUCAGACAUCAGUCUCAGUUUCAAACCUGUGUACUGUGUAUCUGAGUCACAGAUGUUAAAGCAAGCACUCGUGGGUUCCUGGAGGAGGGCAGCCUGCCAGUUACCUGUUGGUGAAUGUCAGACUAUGUGCUUUGGUCCUCUGUGAUUCAGAGUCCAUCUGGAAUCUCUUCAUGGCCGCUGCCUCGCUGGCACGGGCUUUGGACUGAAGCAAGCUUAGGACAAGUUUGGGUUCUAGAGAGCGGCAAGCAGAGUAUCUGUUCGGACAUCCCUUGCUGAUUUUUAGAUGUGACUGCCAGACUCCUGCUGGUCUCAGGUCCAGAGCCCUGGCCGCACCCCCCCCCCCUUCCUCAACCAACGUCUUACCAGUCUUCCUCAACCAACGUCAACUCCCAGGGCUGACACCUUGGAACAUGGCCUCUCUCAAGCCUCAAGCCCCAAGCUGAGCUCCUGUCCCUACCUCAGGCAGGAUCUCACGGAUGCUUCUAAUGAAGUUCUCUCCGACUCUGUCUGAGCACCCACCACGCGAGGAAGGAGCUGCGGCCGACGGCCCUCAGCCCCGGCUGCUGACAGCAGCGAUCCAUCUCCAUCACCGUAAUGGCGUCCCCAUUAAUCGGCCAUAAACUAAUAAAGCAAGCACUUUCCACCCC